rnacentral:lncRNA from 1 species
AUGUGGGAUAUGUAUUGGAUUUGGAUUUGCAGCUAUUUAGUUGUACCCCGGACACUCAGAGAGACAGAGAGGAGGCAAAGUUGAGAGAAAAGAACAGGAGAAGAAGACGACGACGUUCAUAGGCUAUCAGUUCAGUUGUUUUUGUCCUUUCAACAACUUGGCCUUUGGAAUGUUCAGUUGUUCAAUUUGAUCGGAAAGACAGAGAGUUCAAGGUCUGCAUCAAAUUGGCGAACAAACCUGGCCUGUAUCAACCAAUUUAAUUUGUAGACGCCGUAUGUACGUUUUGGUUCC